rnacentral:ncRNA from 12 species
GCGCCCCCGACGACAAGGUAGCCACUUGAGGCUGUCUUCCUCAUUUGAGGAUAGUCGGGGGUGUUUUA